AACGAACGCUGGCGGCAGGCCUAACACAUGCAAGUCGAGCGCCCUUUCGGGGGAGCGGCGGCCGUGUGAGUAACGCGUGGGAAUAUGCCCUUCUCUACGGAAUAGCCUCGUGAAACUGAGAGUAAUACCGUAUACGCCCUGUGGUGGUAAGAUUUAUCGGGGAAGGAUUAGCCCGCGUUGGAUUAGGUAGUUGGUGGGGUAAUGGCCUACCAAGCCGACGAUCCAUAGCUGGUUUGAGAGGAUGAUCAGCCACACUGGGACUGAGACACGGCCCAGACUCCUACGGGAGGCAGCAGUGGGGAAUCUUAGACAAUGGGGGCAACCCUGAGCUAGCCAUGCCGCGUGAGUGAUGAAGGCCUUAGGGUGGUAAAGCUCUUUCAGCUGGGAAGAUAAGGACGGUACCAGCAGAAGAAGCCCAGGCUAACUCCGU
rnacentral:rRNA from 1 species